GACGAACGCUGGCGGCGUGCUUAACACAUGCAAGUCGAACGGACAGGCCCUGCUUUUGUGGGGUGCUCGAGUGGCGCACGGGUGAGUAACACGUGAGUAACCUGCCCUUGACUUUGGGAUAACUUCAGGAAACUGGGGCUAAUACCGGAUAGGAGCUCCUGCUGCAUGGUGGGGGUUGGAAAGUUUCGGCGGUUGGGGAUAGACUCGCGGCUUAUCAGCUUGUUGGUGGGGUAGUGGCUUACCAAGGUUUCGACGGGUAGCCGGCCUGAGAGGGGGACCGGCGACAUUGGGACUGAGAGAGGCCGCAGCAGCGAACGGGAGGCAACAGGGGAAAGUAUGGCACAGUGAGGGGGAGCCAGAGACGGCGGCCCCGGGAGCGGAAUGACGGCCUACGGGUGGAAAACCGCUGUCGCAGGAACCGAACCGAGAGUGACGGUAACGGAUAAGAAAGCACCGGCUAACUACGUG
rnacentral:rRNA from 1 species